rnacentral:tRNA from 1 species
GCACUCUUAGUUUAGUUUGGUAGAAUGUGGGUCUCAAAAACCCGAUGUCGUUGGUUUAAACCCUACAUAGCAUG